rnacentral:rRNA from 1 species
UACGUAGGGGGCAAGCGUUGUCCGGAUUUAUUGGGCGUAAAGCGCUCGCAGGUGGUUCGAUGCGUCGUGCGUGAAAGACCCCGGCUCAACUGGGGAGGGACGUGCGAUACGGUCGAACUGGAGGCCAGUAGGGGGAUGCGGAAUUCCGGGUGUAGUGGUGGAAUGCGUAGAGAUCCGGAGGAACACCGGCGGCGAAGGCGGCAUCCUGGACUGGUCCUGACACUCAUGAGCGAAAGCGUGGGGAGCGAUCCGG